rnacentral:rRNA from 1 species
UUGACGGGGGCCCGCACAAGCGGUGGAGCAUGUGGUUUAAUUCGAAGCAACGCGAAGAACCUUACCAGGUCUUGACAUCCUCUGACAACCCUAGAGAUAGGGCUUUCCCUUCGGGGACAGAGUGACAGGUGGUGCAUGGUUGUCGUCAGCUCGUGUCGUGAGAUGUUGGGUUAAGUCCCGCAACGAGCGCAACCCUUGAUCUUAGUUGCCAGCAUUUAGUUGGGCACUCUAAGGUGACUGCCGGUGACAAACCGGAGGAAGGUGGGGAUGACGUCAAAUCAUCAUGCCCCUUAUGACCUGGGCUACACACGUGCUACAAUGGACAGAACAAAGGGCUGCGAGACCGCAAGGUUUAGCCAAUCCCAUAAAUCUGUUCUCAGUUCGGAUCGCAGUCUGCAACUCGACUGCGUGAAGCUGGAAUCGCUAGUAAUCGCGGAUC